rnacentral:rRNA from 1 species
UAAAUAGCCGCAGUACUCUGACUGUGCAAAGGUAGCAUAAUAAUUUGGCUUAUAAUUGAAGUCUGGUAUGAAAGAACUCAUGGGAGGUAACUGUCUCCAGGGUAUAGUACUAAAUUAGUAAGUAAGUGAAAAUACUUACGAGAGAAAAUAGACGAGAAGACCCUAGAAGCUUGCUAUUUGUUUUGUUGGGGCGACAGAAUUGCAUUUAAACCAAUUUUAUAGAUGUGACGAGAGCAGGAAAAUUAAGCUACUCUAGGGAUAACAGCAUAAUAAAAUUUGUUUGUGACCUCGAUGUUGGACUAGGUAGAAUAGUCCUUAGAAGGACUAAAAAUGCUCUGU